CCCCUUUUGGACUUCAGCAACUGAUGGUCCAGUGCAUCCCUAUACACAGUCUAUGGUCCGGUGAGGAGGUUUUGCAGCGGGAACGUUUGUGUACAGUGUAUUUUUGCAAGAAGACUGGCAAAGUGAAGUGAGCAUCCUGAUGAAGAGAAUGAAACUGUGUCUGCUGCCUUAACAGAGGGGGAUCCAGAAAGGCAUACAUAGAGCAUGGCUGGACAGCAGCAGGAUGGUCCCUCAACGUCCACUGCACAGAUUGACACAGUGAGAUGGAUGUUCAGUAAACACCAGAGGUUCAUUCCGUGGAAUUCAUGUGCAACUGUAUAAUUUAAUGUCCUCUAUGUAUUCCCAGUUAUCGGUAAAACGGAUUUACAAACUGCAUUUGCUGAGAAAAAUCCCAAAAAACAGAUUUGGAAGGCAGAUCUAGAAAUUGAAAUACUGGAGCUGUCACGCCCCUCUGGUUCCAACGAGCCGGCUCAUCAGUUCAAUGAUGAGCGGCUGUGCUCCCUGCACAGCCGGCAUGAAUUUAUCCAAUCAGCGCAGCAUAUAAGCUUCACAACUCACCGCCGGUUCAUUGUUCCAUCAUCCAUGCUCCAUGACGCACUCCAUUUCAUACAGUACUCCGUUCACCGUCUCCUGCACGUCGCCCCCCCCCGGACUGUCUUCCCUGUUGGAUACCUUGCCUGUCUCCCCUGCCGCCGCCACCCUCCCUCCAUUGGUCCUGUCAAUUCUGCCCCUCUUCCGCCUUCCAAACUGGACAAUCAGUAAGCCACCUUUCCUUUUGGUUUAGUUUAUGUUUUACCUGCUCUUUGUUUAGUUUAGUUCUUCUCCCCGUCACUUCCCUCCUGCUUCAGCUAUAAGGAGUUUUCUGUUAAUAUAUUUUUAUUUUGUAUUAAAUCAUUAUUUAAUUCACCUUCCUGUCUGUGCCUGCUGCUUGGGUUCUUCUCUGUGUUUCUUGACAGGAGCACAAGUUAGAGGUGGGUGAUGGUCACAGGUGAAUUAUGUAAACUACUGGAACAUUAACUGAACUAUCUCUUUUAUUUGUAGGAAAUAAAGACCAAAUGAAAUGUGUAUCAUGUCUUUAUUUGCUGUGGUGGCGAUGAUGGGGACUUAAACUCUGAAGUGAUUAUUGCACAUGGUGUCUCUGAAUGCUCUGCUGUCCUGGAUAGCUGCAGGUGGAUGGGGUCAUCAUCUGGGUCUUCAGUUUGUAGGGCAGGGUGUUGCUCUCCUCUAACAGUGGUAAUAUUUUGAAGAACAACACAUGCCACAGUGAUAUCACAGGCCCUCUCAGGGGUCACCCUGAGGUGAUGUAGGCACUGGAAACGGGCUUUCAGCAGGCUUAUGGUCAUCUCCACCUGGGCUCUGGUCCUGCAGUGAGCCUGGUUGAAGUUGUGUUGGGGGCCUGGUUGAGGGUCAGGGUAUGAGGUCAUCAGCCUGGGUUGGUAUGGUAACCCCUGUCACCCAGCAGAAGGCCAUCAAACUCUCCUGUAAUGUAUAGUGGAUACAUUAGAGUAUUUUAAAGGAGGGAGACAAGAGAAUUCUAUUGUGAAAACCUUUAGGCUGCUGACCACGUUGCAGUCUGUUGCUCAGGUUAGACUCUCCAUAAAUCCUGGAGUCAUGAACAGACCCAGGCCACCAGGCCUCCACAUUGAAAAUGAUGUAUGCAUCAUCACAUAUGAUCUGGACAGUGCAGAGAAUGACAGAUGUUGAACUAUGAUGCAGUCUUUAACAUUUAGAAACCGUAGUCAGUCUGCCUGUAGCCUACCUGCACAUUUAUGCUGUGAAUGGACUUCCUGUUCAUGUGAGGGAGCUGUGAUGGGGAUGUGUGUACCAUCUAUGCAGCAAAUCACACUGGGAAAUCCUAAAAGAAAUUAAAAUGACUAAUCUCAGACUGAGGUUGCAGCACAAUGUCAUUAACAGAUCUCUACAUCAUUCACCUGCAAUCCUGUGGAACUCCUCCUUGAUGCUCCGACAGGUCCAGGGAAAACCACAAAGAUGAGUAAAAGCCGUUUCAGGGCCAGCAACACUUUCCUGACCGUCCUCCAUACAGUUGUCUUACUGAAGUCCUCUGCAUCUCCGACAUUAUAUAAAAACUUUCAUUUGCAAAGAACUGCAGCGCAACACACAUUAUCUGCUGGAUGUGAGAGCAUGACUGGUUGGUAAUGUAAAUGUAAGGACGGAUUAGGUUGUUUAUGUAGAUUAUGGACUUGAAACGGUACCGCUAAAAACAAAUAAUUGUCCGGAAAUGCGAGAACAUUUAUGCUCGGUCUGAUAAUCUAACGAUGAAUAUUUAAUUAUCUGUGCAGUAAUGCUGAUCCUUUAUCCACUGGAUCGUUAAUAAAAGCUGUUCUACGCCAAAACUCGCUUGCUUACUGACUGCAUGAAUGAGGAAAUGAAACAGCGUCUGUGGCUGAAAGUGGGCGGAUACGGAGAGAAACUCGAGGUUUUCUGAAAUAAAUCUGUUGGCAACCAGGUUCAAGUCAUAGAGUCUGUUACUGCGGUAACUGACUGUGAGUUUAAGUUACCCAUCUUUGUGAAACAGGCUCGUUACCCCUCUGUCUCAGGGUUGAGUUACCUCGCUUCGUGAAACGGAAAACUCUGAGUUUCCCUCAUUUCAGGGUUAACAAACUCAGGGUUUUCAAUAAACCUGCUUCUUGAAACAGACCCCAGGAAGGCCAGUCACAGUUAAACAGUCCAGUGUCUAAAGGUGAUCUAAAUUCAAAAUAAUUUGUCAGCAUUGCUGAAGGGCCCAGUAGUGGUCACAACAGGGUUUGAACCACUGACCUUCUGAUCAGUAGUCCAGAGACUUAACACUUGCACUACUGCUUCCUUGUUACAUUAUUUAUGAAUAUGGGUUCCUCCCGAGGAAAAUGCAGUUCUUACUAUUAAAGUGGAACUUACAUACACCAUCUGCCUUAGUAGAUACAAGCAGUAUGACCUCUUAGUACCCCGAAUAUGUGCAUCAUUAUGAAUAUUCAAAUGAAGAAUAAUGAGGAAGAAACACUGUAGGUAUUUGUAUUAGCUGCUAGUCCACAGGAAAUAGACUUGCUGUGCUUACUAAAAUUUAAAUGCUCUGCAAUUUGCUUUGAAUUGACAGCUGAUAAGAAUUUGCUAAAGGUCGCAGAUAUACCACUUACCUUUGUACCAUUUCAAGCUAUUUAUUGGACUUGAACUACUUGAAUGUCAAUUAAAACUGGAACAAUUGGGGCAUUCCAAAACUUUUGACCAGUCAUGUAUAUACACUCAAAUCUGACGGGUAUCACGUUGGUAAAUGCAAUUUUUGAUCUAAACUGGGAUUUCAAAUUACCAGACACAAGGCCCUCUACAUGUUAAGAGACACCAAAAACAACGAUGACCAGCAUGUAUACUAGUAUGCAUAUUUCAUUCACAUCCAGUCUUCUUUACACUUAAGAAAAUUACUUUUGAUAGAACAAACAUCCAUUUCAAAAAGAUGGGAGAGUGUGCAUUCAGCAGGAAGAGGCUGUGUGUAUUGUGAGUUGUUUUCAAGCUGAUUGAUGACUGUGUGAAGUGAUAAUCAGAUGCCAAGACAGCUCCAACUGUGAUGGGUGUAAACAGUGUCUUAGAGUCUUAGAGCUGAAGACAGGAUAUGGUAAAAAGGGAAAAGGAACCACUCCCUGCCGGCCUCAUUUUCCUGAGAAGAGCCUGGCUGUCUGCCACUAUGACUCCACCCGCAACCCCAAACUAUCAGACUGAGGAGAUCGCAGAACAAUAAUAUUUUUUUUUAACUGCUGCUAUUGAAAGGAAAGCUGGUCAGUCUGUCCAACCAACAUUUAAACUAAAAAUAUGUAUUUUUGUAUUGUCGUUACACUUACUUGCACAUUUAUUUUUUUUAAGUAUUUUUUUCUUUUUUUGAGUUUGUUUUAUUUUUUGCCUUUUUGGAUAGCAUUAGUAAAGAUGCACACAUCUUUCUUUUUGAAAGCGACACAGAAAUAUCAAAGAACCUAACCUGUCAAGAUUUAAGUUGUACGAGUCUCGAAAACACAGAUUCAGACCUCAGGGUUUCAUAAGUAGUAAACCUAAGGAACCAAUCCUAUCAAUUUGCAUGGAGUAACUUUUAAUUAUGAAUUAUUCAACUUCAGAAUCAGGUUUUGGUUUGAACAUGUGUAACUGAAUAUUCCAAUGUUACAACGUUCCUUUGUGUACAUUAGAGAGUUUUACAGCAUUUGGGCAAAGUCAGAGAGGAACCACUAGAGGCAGGAGCAUGGUAAAUCUACACAAGCUAGAGUAAUCAAUGGUGUCGAGUUACAUCAAAGCCAUUUUAAGGCAGGGAAGGAUUAAAUUCAUCCAAUAUUAUUUUUCCUUAUCUAUAAAGUAUGUAACAGUUACAAUAACUGCCUUUAAUUUUACAUUUAUUGAAUUUCCAUAGAGAGAUUAAUAAAGUUUUUGUUUUGUAUUGUAUUUAAAUAAAGGCAGUUAUUUACACUCUAAUUAGCAGUUUUGGGUCGGCAAAAGUAAAAAUGUAAAUUUUUGCUGAAGUUUUUAACAUAACACACUUCCCUGGUUAUUAAUGCACAGAUACAUGUAUUAAGUAUCCCUUAUCCAUAAAGCCCAAGGUUAUUUUUUUUGGCCUCACAGUUUUGCUGCUGUACCAACUAAAUUUGGGGAUGCUUUCUUGUUGAAAGUUUCAAAAAGUAUGACCUACACAAAGCCCUGACAAUUUUGAAAUCCAAAAGAUGACGCCUUAAUUAUUUUACCCAAUAGCACACCAGGCUGGGCAUUGUGUAUCAUCCACAUAAUUUUGCAUAGUAAGCUACCUACCAUUUUCUGUGAAACAUCGAAACAUUUAAUUAGGUAAAAAGUGGCAUGUGUGGAUAGCACAUUGAUGUUAUUGUAGGUGUACUUAUAAACACAUUUAAGAUUUAAGCAUGACUUUUUUCAAAUAUGUUUACAGCUUCAUAUUCUGACAUAUGCUACUGGAUCAUCGAGUGAUAAGUGCAAACACACUGUGAGUGUUGUGGCAUUUUAAAAUUGAACAAUGGAGAAAAUUAGAGAAUGUGGGAUGUGUGAAACAAAUUUAAGAGCUAAGGGAGACCUAACAGGUCAGCUGAAGUUAUGAGUGCACUAAAUAACCCUGUGUAAAGCGGCAACCCAGCGGAACCCUUUGGAAGCGCAUAUUAGGCAUAAGACAGGAAGUUCAUGUCCUCUCUUCGUCUGCGCUCAUGAUUUGUAACUCAGGGCACACUGAGCUAAGCAGAAAUAAUGCCAACCUAGCAGAAAUAAAAGAGAGGAGGGGGUCCAACUUUGAAUACGAUUACUUCAUGUGUAUCCUGAUUGGGUCUUAAGAUGAUAGGUUGUGGCUGUCCAGAACAAAAGAGGUGUGUUUAGAAGGAAUUUGCAUAGGUAUAAAAGACAAUGUAACACCUUGUGUAAUUAGUUACAAUCUCGAGAUUUCGCCCAUGUUUGUACUUACAGCCUUUGUAUUGAAUAAACAUUAUUCACAUCAGAC